rnacentral:rRNA from 2 species
UACGUAGGGUGCUAGCGUUGUUCGGAAUCAUUGGGCGUAAAGCGCGUGUAGGCGGUCAAAUAAGUCUGGUGUGAAAGCCCUGGGCUCAACCGAGGAAGUGCAUCAGAAACUAUUUGACUAGAAGACGGUAGAGGAAGGUGGAAUUCCAAGUGUAGAGGUGAAAUUCGUAGAUAUUUGGAGGAAUACCGGUGGCGAAGGCGGCCUUCUGGGCCGAUCUUGACGCUGAGACGCGAAAGCGUGGGGAGCAAACAGG